AAUAGAUACCCAGGUAGUCCACGCCGUAAACGAUGAGUGCUAAGUGUUGGAGGGUUUCCGCCCUUCAGUGCUGCAGCUAACGCAUUAAGCACUCCGCCUGGGGAGUACGGUCGCAAGACUGAAACUCAAAGGAAUUGACGGGGGCCCGCACAAGCGGUGGAGCAUGUGGUUUAAUUCGAAGCAACGCGAAGAACCUUACCAGGUCUUGACAUCUCCUGACCGCCCUGGAGACAGGGUCUUCCCUUCGGGGACAGGAUGACAGGUGGUGCAUGGUUGUCGUCAGCUCGUGUCGUGAGAUGUUGGGUUAAGUCCCGCAACGAGCGCAACCCUUGGUUCUAGUUGCCAGCAUUCAGUUGGGCACUCUAGAGCGACUGCCGGCGACAAGUCGGAGGAAGGUGGGGAUGACGUCAAGUCAUCAUGCCCCUUAUGACCUGGGCUACACACGUGCUACAAUGGAUGGUACAAAGGGCAGCGAAGCGGCGACGCAUUAGCGAAUCCCAGAAAACCAUUCUCAGUUCGGU
rnacentral:rRNA from 1 species